CGCUCCCGCUGCCGCUGCCGGCGCGUCUGCGCCUCGCGCUGCAGCACCGGAGCGCGGGGCGAGCUCCUCACUGGGGACCGAAGUGUGGCGGAGGACGGGAGCAGAGCGUGCCGUGGGCCCGCGGGGUGCGGGCGUGCGCGUGCGUGCGCGUGGGAAGCCUCACGCCAACGCUCUGUAGGGCACUCGGGUGGCCCAGGGCCCGUCGUCGGGGUCCUCGGGAUCUCCCGCACGCUAGCAGCCACAUGGCACAUCCGAGGACUGAGCGACAGGCUGCGGGCGGGAAGCUUACAGCUGGCCAGUGUUUCCCAAACGCCAAACGGCACUUCGGGCGGCAGUACACUGAUUUAAAGAGAGCCAGUGGGUCAAUCUGGAGACUGAGAUGGGCUGCGACAGGGGCCUCAAGGGAUCAAAAUGGAGAGAAUCAAGAACAGAAGCUCAUUUGGCCUAGGGCAGGACAAACGACAUUUUCUUGAUGUAAAAGGCAGAAGAUCUGAAGACAGACCUAAAGAAGGAUGGAGAAGACCGUUGAGUUUACGUUUGGUAGAAGAGUGAAAAGAAUAAACAGAUAAAGAAAAGGAAGGGGACUCGGCACGGGGCAGAAACUGCGCUGUGUCUCACACCAGGAGGCCCUGAAGUCAGCAAGCACCUAACUGCUGAACAAACGUCACUCCAAAGCAGUCUUGGGCUUUUUCUUUGUUUAA